AGAAAAGUGACCGCUGCCCCGCGCAGGGGCGACGCUAAUAGACCGACACGAUCACAGGUGCUUCACGCCAACCGUGAGCACACCACCAACGAAACCCAAAACCGAACCUCAA
rnacentral:sRNA from 2 species